rfam:Cucumis sativus cultivar 9930 chromosome 1, whole genome shotgun sequence.
CAGUUGUACCUAAAUCAAAUUUGAGAAGUUAACUGGUCGGUUGUUGUUAUCUGUCAACAAAUCUGUUUACCGAUCUUUUUACAUUU